rnacentral:rRNA from 1 species
UUGCCCUACGGGACGCAGCAGUGAGGAAUAUUGGUCAAUGGGCGGGAGCCUGAACCAGCCAAGUCGCGUGAGGGAAGACGGUCCUACGGAUUGUAAACCUCUUUUGCCGGGGAGCAACGGGGUCCUUGCGAGGGCCCGAUGAGAGUACCCGGAGAAAAAGCAUCGGCUAACUCCGUGCCAGCAGCCGCGGUAAUACGGAGGAUGCGAGCGUUAUCCGGAUUUAUUGGGUUUAAAGGGUGCGUAGGCGGAUUUUUAAGUCAGCGGUAAAAUGUCCGGGCUCAACCCGGGCCGGCCGUUGAAACUGG